rnacentral:tRNA from 1 species
UCCCUGGUGGCUCAGAGGGUAAAGCAUCUGUCUGCAAUGCGGGAGACCCAGGUUUGAUCCCUGGGUCGGGAA